rnacentral:tRNA from 1 species
UGGGGAAUAGUGUAAUGGCAGCACGACUGACUCUGAAUCAGUUAGUCGAGGUUCAAAUCCUCGUUCCCCAG